GGCAGCCAUGUUGGGAAGGUCAUAAUAGAGCUGGCUGAGAACGGGUAGCGUCUAGUUAACGUGUGGUGACUGUAUAGCGCGAUCAGGAAUGAAUGAAAUCAGGGCUGGAGAACGUGGUGGGUGCAGGAACCACAACAGUUCAUGAGUGCAGACUAGCAUGGAGGAGAGUAUUAAGAGAGGACUAAUACCAGGGGAGAGGAUGCUAGAGAGAGGAGAGAGUCUGAUGAAAACUAAUAAGAGAAGUCAUUUGUUGCUGAUUUUCUAUAGUGUCUAGCACAGUGGUUCUGAAAUGUUUUUCUGCUGUGACACACUGAAGCGUAACAUCCAGGUAUAGGACAAUGGCUCUCUCAACUCAGGAUCUCCUCCGAAUCCUAACCAUCACAUGCAAACUCCUAUCCCCAAGUUAUGUGUCUCCAUUCUAUACAACUAUUUGAAGAAUGGUGGAAGAUGGUAA